UAAUUAAAGAGGACUUCUAAAAUAAUAUUAUAAGAUAGGCAAGUAUUUAUAUUGAAAAGCGACUGGGAACAAGUCUGAUGGCUGGGGUAUAGUGCGCCAACCACAGAUUAUGUCGAGACAAUAUUUCACUUGGUGAAACUUUUUUUUUCAUAAAAUUAAUAUUGAGUUUAUAAAUUAUCUAAUUAUAACAUAUAUAUCUUGUAUUCUACCAUGCAUGCUUAUUACAAACAAAUAAAAUUAACCGAUAUUUUACAUUUUCAUGUAUAUGUAAUGUAUGUUGUGUAAAACUUUAUUUAAAGACGCUAACCUCGUCAACGGUACGCCGAUUUCCACGAGGUGCGUCAUAUCAUGAUUCAUGUACUCUAUACAUUAUUACCAAGGUUCUGUUAUACGUUCUCUGGGAUUUCUUGAAGGUCCCAAAUAGUUCCAAACAAUGAUAUACAAUGAAAAGUACGAAACUGAACUAAAAAGAACUGGAACGCUAUUGAACCUACGAUUGAGGCCUUUUAUACACUUUGUCUAGAGCAUUUAUUUUUCCAUAAACAAAUUAUCUGAU